AUUGAACGCUGGCGGCAUGCCUUACACAUGCAAGUCGAACGGCAGCACGGGGCAGCCUGGUGGCGAGUGGCGAACGGGUGAGUAAUGCAUCGGAACGUACCUUUCAGUGGGGGAUAACGUAGCGAAAGUUACGCUAAUACCGCAUAUUCUGUGAGCAGGAAAGCAGGGGAUCGCAAGACCUUGCGCUGAUUGAGCGGCCGAUGUCAGAUUAGCUAGUUGGUGAGGUAAAGGCUCACCAAGGCGACGAUCUGUAGCGGGUCUGAGAGGAUGAUCCGCCACACUGGAACCGAGACACGGUCCAGACUCCGACGGGAGGCAGCAGUGGGGAAUUGUGGACAAUGGGGGCAACCCUGAUCCAGCCAUGCCGCGUGAGUGAAGAAGGCCUUCGGGUUGUAAAGCUCUUUCGGCCGGGAAGAAAUCGCACGGGCUAAUACCCUGUGUGGAUGACGGUACCGGAAUAAGAAGCACCGGCUAACUACGUGCCAGCCGCCGCGGUAAAAC
rnacentral:rRNA from 1 species